rnacentral:rRNA from 1 species
UACGUAGGGUGCGAGCGUUAAUCGGAAUUACUGGGCGUAAAGCGUGCGCAGGCGGUUUUGUAAGCCAGGUGUGAAAUCCCCGGGCUCAACCUGGGAAUGGCAUUUGGGACUGCAAGGCUGGAGUGCGGCAGAGGAGACUGGAAUUCCUGGUGUAGCAGUGAAAUGCGUAGAUUAUCAGGAGGAACACCGAUGCGAAGGCAGGUCUCUGGGCUGACACUGACGCUCAUGCACGAAAGCGUGGGGAGC